rnacentral:rRNA from 1 species
GAUGAACGCUGGCGGCGUGCCUAAUACAUGCAAGUCGAACGAAACUUCUUUAUCACCGAGUGCUUGCACUCACCGAUAAAGAGUUGAGUGGCGAACGGGUGAGUAACACGUGGGCAACCUGCCCAAAAGAGGGGGAUAACACUUGGAAACAGGUGCUAAUACCGCAUAACCAUAGUUACCGCAUGGUAACUAUGUAAAAGGUGGCUAUACUACCGCUUUUGGAUGGGCCCGCGGCGCAUUAGCUAGUUGGUAGGGUAAAGGCUUACCAAGGCAAUGAUGCGUAGCCGAAUUGAGAGGUUGAUCGGCCACAUUGGGACUGAGACACGGCCCAAACUCCUACGGGAGGCAGCAGUAGGGAAUCCUCCACAAAGGGCGAAAGCCUGAUGGAGCAACGCCGCGUGGGUGAAGAAGGUCUUCGGAUCGUAAAACCCUGUUGUUAGAGAAGAAAGUGCGUGAGAGUAACUGUUCACGUUUCGACGGUAUCUAACCAGAAAGCCACUGCUAACUACGUG